AUGAAGCGCAAGUGCGUGACGUCGCAGCAGCGCGGCAGAUGCACGCGGACUGGAAUUAACGUUAACUGUCCGAGCGCGCGAGAGACCGACAGACAAUCCCGGGCAGGAAGAAUGCUCUGAAUACACGGACUUUCCCCCCUAUGGCGAUGGAAAAACGUUUCGUAUAGCCUGCUCGAAGAAGAUGGAGAGAACCCAUGCUAUGGAGGAGCCAGAAACACCCACCCAUGGCAUUCUGCAGGGGAAGGAGCAAGACACAACCACCACCCUCUCCAUCACUCCUCUUUCUCCCUCCCUCUCUCUCUCUCUCCCUCUCUCUCUACCACACACACAAUAACACACAAAAACACGCACGCAUGCACACACACAAAUGCAUGCUCACAUGUAUGCGCAUGCACAUACGGACACACAUUCCCAUUACCCAAUGUUCAUUCCUGUUACUAAAAUGUUUUGGGUUUAAAAAAAAAAAAAAAAAAUUAAGUUAAACCACUUUUUUGUGGUCCAUCAUCUAUCCAACUGUUUAAUAAAUUACAUGAUUAAAAAAGAAAUAUAAACCUGAGUUUUGGGUCUCCUUUAAAUGGAAGAAAAUGGCUGGCUGUGCAUUUUUUUUAUUUAGAAAAAAUACAACUCGCGUGUAUAUAUAGUGAUUUUUUUUAGUCACAAAUAUCAAUUAUUUGAACGUGUAACCGAACCUUUCUUUAAAGUAAACACUCUCUUAAGCGGAAAACAAAGGGAUUCGUUGAGAAGCUUUUAAACAUGCUUUUUAAAUGGCACAUGAGUUUUGGUAACAGGACUGAGAAAAAUACAACCAUCUUCUGCUUAGAUGAAAAUUAAAUAAAUAAAAAAUAAAUAGAUAAAUAAAGUUACCUGAGAUUGACCAAUAUACAUUUUGAAUAGUUAAAUACGUGUGUUAUUAGAUUCGGUGUUGAAAAAAGAUUUUAAAAAGUGAAGUUUCAUUUGGACGAGUUACAACAAGCAAAUGGUAUUCGGUGGAAUGACCCUUAACCUGAAUAUCUGCUUGGCAGUGAAUUCAGUUUUGUAUUUGAACACUUCAGUUGUACACCUAGACACACACACUGAACAUUUGUAGAGCAUGUCAAGGUAGGGUUUUCUAUUUUUGGAUCUCAUGCUAGUAUUACCAAUCGCCACGUUGAGCUUAAUCUCAGCUUCCCUCCAUCCUCACCUUGCAAGAAAACACUCCUCUUUUAUUAAAACACUUAAUCCAUCGACCCUUUCAUCUCCUGGCUAGCACUGCUGCCUUCUCCUUUACUGGUAUCACUAAUCUCUUAAAUCUCUUUGUUAUGUAGUCUUCCUAUACUCACUCUAGCACUUUCCCUAUGACUUUGUACCUCUUGAGACACGAAUAGUCCAAUCCACUCAACCGCUGCUUGGCAAGUUUCAUGAAUUUUCAUCUCUUGAAUAAGAAAAAUUGUACCACCGCAACAGUGACCAAUACAGAGAUAAAGUUGUCUAUGGCACUGUUGGUAUUUGAACUUGAGAUCCUGAUUAUAUGGAGAAUGCGUUAUUGUUACUUCACCCUGGAGUUUCAAAUGCUGGGCUCUCAGUCACACAAAGUUCUUGGCUUACAUUACAUAAUUCUCUAUCAGAUACACAAUUCAUGCUUAAACUUAUAUCACCACAUAAUCUGUAUUCUUUUAUGUCCCUGUACUUUUGAACACUUACACCCCAGCCUGCACAUUAAAGUUCUCCAGUAUGGGUGUACUGGUGGUCCGAGACCCAGAUUGUUCACUGCUAUGGCCCACAGAUGUACAAGCUUCUAUGCAUAAUUAUGAUUAUUUGCCAGAUCUGAUCUGUAUCGUGACCGUUCACAUUCAUAACUGUAAGUGACCUUUAUCUGUUUUUAAUUUGAAUGCACGGGUCCCUUGAAACACCUUCCAUAUACUGUACUUACUGAUAUCUUAUGCAAUUGUUCUGAAUUUUACUCGGUUUCAAAAGGUUCCAGUUUUCCAGUUUUGCUUAUAUCAAUUCCUCAAAUAUCAAGUAAAUCUCCACUGAAAUCACCACCGUCGUUAUUCCGUUGCUGUUUUGUCACACUUCUGACGUCGGAUGCUGACGGCCACAUCGGUAUGUCCAUGAGAGUUAGAAAAAGCCAUAUGAAUUCCGAUCUGGCGGUUUUAUUCCUGCCGCAUAUCCCACAUAUCGAAUAUGUAUCUGAUUUAGGACCACAUAUGAAAGUGGUUCAGGUUUAAUUUGUACAGAUUAGAUUUUUGUGUCCACACAGUCCUGAAAAAUUCAGAUCUGUGUCACAGUCAGGCAGAAAAAAUGGAUCUGUGUCAUCUGGGAAUAUGAGUCUAGCCUUAAAGGAGAAAAAACAAUUGAGACCACUUUAUGUUUGUUUGAAGAGUGCUGUUUGGUUGUCAGGUAAUUAUUAUUGGGGUUGCCAGGGCCUUUUUAUAGGUUACAUUGGAAGGAUACACUCUAUGCUUAAAAUCGCCAUAAAAUGAUUUGUCUGUGAUGAUGUCAUGAUCAUUGAGUGAAGGUGUGCUCAUUAUAGAGUACAAAAUGCGGUCUGAAAGUACAGCUGUUAAUAAACAAACAGCGAUAACUUUGAUUUGGUGCUGAGCAGAAGUGACAAAAUGGGUUGAAAGCCAAGAAUAAGUCUUGAAAGUCUUGAGAAAAUUGUUUUGUAAAUUGUUGAGUAGGCACAGGAAGGAUAUUCACAAUGAGAAAUUGCUUGCAGAAGAUUCAGCUUCCAGUCAGAGGCGUGUGUGAGGAAGCAAACAGAGAGUGAGUCAGUUAAGAAGAAAAAGAUUCCCAGGGUUGAAAAGAAAGACCACUUCAAGACAGAACAGUGUUAUGAAAAUUGAGAGAAGACAGGAUGAUCGCAAAUCAAGAGGGAAACCAAAGCUUAAGCAGCAAACAAAGAGGCUAGACAAUAUUUUGACAGAAAACCCUUUUGCCUGGAUUUUUUUCUCAAUAGAAUUCAUGGUCGAGCCUAUAUGAGGAGGAUACUGGGAGAAGAGCUUAUGCACUCAGGCCACUAUGAGUCAUGAUGGGGGUGGGAUUAUGGUCUAGGGAUGCAUCACAACCAAAAGUGUUGAAUCUUUGAAAAAAGUGUGUGUUAGCUAUGCUUAUAUUGAUUUACUGGUGGAUUCCCUGUUCCCAACUGUCCACCUUCAGUCAUCAAUGGAGGGUGUUGUUUGACGAAGAGGAAACUGAGGUUAUAAAUGAAUUAAUGGCAAUUACGAAAAACGUCACAUUACUCAGAAACCCUACUUUUUGUUCUGCAUAUACCUAUAAAUGUAUAUACCAUAAAAUAUAAACAGCAUUAUUGUUCAAAUUUUGGAAAUUUGCUAUAUCAACCAUCCAUGGUCUAGAUUAGGCCAUCCCUAAAAACCAAGGAAGAAGUAAUCUGAUCAGAACGAUUGACAAAAGGCUGAUGGCAACUUUAAAGAAGCAGUAGUCUAAAUGGCUUUUCAAAGACUUGUCAAAGGCAAGGAUGCAUGCAUAACAACAUUUAUAAGUUCUCCACAAAUCUGGCCUGGGGUGACAGCUUCUAAAAAAAGUGAUUAUGCCCUGCGAUAGGUUGGCACCCCGUCAAUGGUGCCCUGAGUCUCCUGGGAUAGGCUCCAGGCUCCCUCAGGAUAAGUGGUACAGAAAAUGGAUGGAUGGACCUCUUAGUCUCAGCAUUAAAUGCCCCACCUACAGUUCAAAGAGUGUCUAUAUGUAUUCUGCUCACAAGAUUGCACUAUGAUUGGCUAUCAGCACUUAUAUUUAUGUGCAAAUGGUGCACCAGGUCCCAAACUUUUGAAUGCUUUAACUUUAAAUCUCACUGUACUAUAAUGUAUAUGUGACAAAUAAAGGAUUUCUUCCUCUUCAUCUUCUUCUUCUUCUUCUUCUUCUAUGGACUAUCCCUAGGUAUGGACCACUUAUGGAGUACCUCUAGGUAUAUGGUUUUGGUGCUGAUAUGUUUUGUGAAAUACAGAAAAAAUGAGAAGUCUUAAUAUUGUAAUUAAGAGUUUCUUCUGAAUGGGCAGUUAGGAGAUAGCCUUAAGAUCCUUGAAUACACCCCAUGGUUCACAGAUUUGUCUCAUCCCAUCAGGCAGAUGCAUACAGUAAAU
ensembl:lncRNA